rnacentral:sRNA from 12 species
CCGCAGCCAGGGCGGCCUCACGGAAGGCCUGGACACUGAUAAGCCGGCAAGUGCAGUGCUUCGCAAAACACCGGCCGCC